rnacentral:rRNA from 1 species
GUUGCGGUUAAAAAGCUCGUAGUUGGAUCUCGGCGGGCAGGGGGUGGUUCGCUCUUCAGCGCUACUGCCCCGCUUUGCCCGUGUGAUUGGCGGAGGUUUCGGGGUGCUCUUCGUUGAGUGACUCGGAGCGCCGUCAGGUUUACUUUGAAAAAAUUAGAGUGCUCAAAGCAGGCUUUUCACGCUUGAAUAUUCGUGCAUGGAAUAAUGGAAUAGGAACUCGUUUCUAUUUUGUUGGUUUUCGGAAAUCGAGUUAAUGAUUAACAGGGACAAUUGGGGGCAUUAGUAUUCAGACGACAGAGGUGAAAUUCUUGGACCGUCUGAAGACUGACUACUGCGAAAGCAUUUGCCAAGAGUGUUUUCAUUAAUCAAGAACGAAAGUUAGAGGUUCGAAGGCGAUCAGAUACCGCCCUAGUUCUAACCAUAAACGAUGCCAGCUAGCGAUCUGCCGAGUUUUCUUUGUAGGCUCCGCAGGAAGCUUUCGGGAAACCAAAGCUUUUGGGUUCCGGGGGAAGUAUGGUUGCAAAGCUGAAACUUAAAGGAAUUGACGGAAGGGCACCA